GCACGUAUGGCGGAAUUGGUAGACGCGCCAGCUUGAGGGGCUGGUGUUCGAUUAGAAUGUGCUGGUUCGAAUCCAGUUACGUGCA
rnacentral:tRNA from 1 species